UACAGAGGUGGCAAGCGUUGUUCGGAAUUACUGGGCGUAAAGGGCGCGUAGGCGGCCAUCUAAGUCAGACGUGAAAUCCCCCGGCUUAACCUGGGAACUGCGUCUGAUACUGGACGGCUUGAGUAUGGGAGAGGGAUGUAGAAUUCCAGGUGUAGCGGUGAAAUGCGUAGAUAUCUGGAGGAAUACCGGUGGCGAAGGCGGCUCUCUGGAACGCAACUGACGCUGAGACGCGAAAGCGUGGGGAGCAAACAGG
rnacentral:rRNA from 1 species